rnacentral:rRNA from 1 species
UCGCAAGAUUAAAACUCAAAGGAAUUGACGGGGACCCGCACAAGCGGUGGAUGAUGUGGAUUAAUUCGAUGCAACGCGAAAAACCUUACCUACCCUUGACAUGUCUGGAAUGCCGAAGAGAUUUGGCAGUGCUCGCAAGAGAACCAGAACACAGGUGCUGCAUGGCUGUCGUCAGCUCGUGUCGUGAGAUGUUGGGUUAAGUCCCGCAACGAGCGCAACCCUUGUCAUUAGUUGCUACGCAAGAGCACUCUAAUGAGACUGCCGGUGACAAACCGGAGGAAGGUGGGGAUGACGUCAAGUCCUCAUGGCCCUUAUGGGUAGGGCUUCACACGUCAUACAAUGGUCGGGACAGAGGGUCGCCAACCCGCGAGGGGGAGCCAAUCUCAGAAACCCGAUCGUAGUCCGGAUCGCAGUCUGCAACUCGACUGCGUGAAGUCGGAAUCGCUAGUAAUCGCGGAUCAGAAUGUCGCGGUGAAUACGUUCCCGGGUCUUGUACACACCGCCCGUCACACCAUGGGAGUGGGUUUCACCAGAAGUAGGUAGCCUAACCGUAAGGAGGGCGCUUACCACGGUGGGAUUCAUGACUGGGGUGAAGUCGUAACG